rfam:Candidatus Regiella insecticola 5.15 Rin_2504560322.471, whole genome shotgun sequence.
CCAUUUGUAUCACCAGGCGACCCUAGGAUCCUGAAUAAAAAAGCGGAUCUGACAAUGUAACAAAGCGUAAUUACACGCGGGAUACAAAUCGUGAGAGGCGUAUCUUCCUGAUAACCACAAAUCGAGU